ACCGGAGCGCUGCGCCCGAACGAGUGCCGACACCGCGCGGUGCCUCACGCGGCGCUCAUCCCCUCCAGCCCGGGUCCGUGUCCCCGAGGGUCUGCGUCUGAGACAGCGCUCGGCCCCUGUCCCCAGGGGUCUCUGUCUCAAGCAGCCCUCGUCCCCUGCUGCCCCUGAGCAUCCCUGUCCCAGUAGGACGCUGUCCCCAAGGCUCUGUGUCUCAGACAGAACUCGUCCCCUGUCCCCGAGGUCCCCGUCCCCAGAGGUCUCUGUCUCGAGCAGCCCUCGUCACCUUCUGUCCCCGAAGAUCCUUGUCCCCAAAGGUCCCCACCCCCACGAGGCUGUAUCUCAGACCGCUUGUCCCCUCUUACUGAGAAUCCUUGUCCCCAAAGGUCUCUGCCCCAGGGGUCUCUGUCUCAAGCAGCCCUUUUUCCAUGCUGUCCCCAAGGAUCCUUGUCACUGUGGGUCCCUGUCCCUGAGGGUCUGUAUCUCAAGCAGCACUCAUGCCCUGUCCCCAGUGAUCCUUGUCCCCAAAGAUCCCUGUCUCUGAGAGUCCAUAUCUCAAACAGCCCUCAUGUCCUGUCCCUGAGGGUCUGUAUCUCAAACAGCACUUGUGCUCUCUCCCUGAGGACCCUUGUCCCCAAGGUCCCUGUCCCCAAGGGUCUCUGUCUCGAGCAGCCCUCAUCCCCUGUUGCCAAGGAUUACUGUCCCCAAGGAUCCCCACCUCUGAAGUCCCCAUUCCCAAGUUCCUUGCCCCAAGGAUCCUCGCCUCAAAGCAUCCCUGUCCCAAAGCAGCCCUGCCCUCAGAGAUCCCCAGCUCUGAGGUCCCUGCCUCCAAGGCUCUGUGUGUCAAACAGCCCUCGCACUCAACGUUCACUAUCCCCGAGGUCCCUGUCCCUGUAAUCCCCAUUCCUAAGUUCCUAGCCUCAAACCAUCCCUGUCCCAAUGGAUCACCAUCCCCAGUAGUCCUGUCCUCAACGACCCCCAUCCCUGAGGUCUCUGUCCCUCCCCAUCCACCUCACUCCCCUCCUCCCCACCCCAUUCACCCCUCUGUGCCCACCAGAGCCACACAAGUCCCUCUGUGGCGUAUCUCAGCCCCCAGCCCUGCACUGGGGACCCACACCCUCCAUGGGGUCCCUUCACUCCAUUUGCUCAGCAAACGGCACCACCUGUCCCACUCUUCCCAGCCUGUACUAGCCUGUGGAUAGAAAAAAAAAGCAACAACAAAGAACAAAAAAACAGACAGGUAAUGAUUUUGAGUCAGUCCUUCAAAAUCCCAGUAUCCCAGCCAGCCCUUCCCAGUAUCCUCACUGAUCCCUCCCAGUAAUCCAUAUCCUAACCAACCCUUCCCAGUAAUCC
ensembl:lncRNA